rnacentral:rRNA from 1 species
AACGAACGCUGGCGGCAUGCCUAACACAUGCAAGUCGAACGAGACCUUCGGGUCUAGUGGCGCACGGGUGCGUAACGCGUGGGAAUCUGCCCUUGGGUUCGGAAUAACUCGCCGAAAGGCGUGCUAAUACCGGAUGAUGUCGUAAGACCAAAGAUUUAUCGCCCAGGGAUGAGCCCGCGUAAGAUUAGGUAGUUGGUGAGGUAACGGCUCACCAAGCCGACGAUGGAUAGGGGAGCUGAGAGGCUGACCCCCCACACUGGGACUGAGACACGGCCCAG